rnacentral:rRNA from 1 species
AAUGGGGGAAACCCUGAUCCAGCCAUUCCGCGUGAGUGAAGAAGGCCUUCGGGUUGUAAAGCUCUUUCGCAAGAGAAGAAAACUUAUAAUCUAAUAUAUUGUGAGCAUGACGGUAUCUUGAUAAGAAGCACCGGCUAACUACGUGCCAGCAGCCGCGGUAAUACGUAGGGUGCAAGCGUUAAUCGGAAUUACUGGGCGUAAAGCGUGCGCAGGCAGUUUUAUAAGUCAGAUGUGAAAUCCCCGAGCUCAACUUGGGAACUGCGUUUGAAACUGUAAGACUAGAGUGUGUCAGAGGGGGUAGAAUUCCACGUGUAGCAGUGAAAUGCGUAGAGAUGUGGAGGAAUACCAAUGGCGAAGGCAGCCCCCUGGGAUAACACUGACGCUCAUGCACGAAAGCGUGGGGAGCAAACAGGAUU